CGGUGGGGAGAGGAGAGGGACUGGAUCGGCGGUGGAGACAGAGGGCGCUUGAGGUACCGCUGACGCCGGACUAGACGUAGGGGCGGCGGGGACGACUGGGGCAGAUGGUGCGGGACCAGAAGUUUAGCGCCGACGGCGUGAAGUUGGAGCGGCGGCGGUCCAGGCCGUGUGGCAGCGGCGGCCGGCCCUCUCUACCUACUACUCCGCGUCCUCUGAGGUUUACAACCACUAGAAGGGUUCUUCCGGGGGUUCCAUUCACAGAAGUCUCUUGUUUAAGAGGUUGAACGACCCUAACGAACAGUACUUCUCCUCCCUUUUAGUGCCUGUCUCGAUGACCUCUUCGAGUUUUGUACAUUGUUCCAAUACGAUCAACUUGACACGGCAAGUAAACUACAGGGACCAAGUUGUUCGUGAUUCUUCCUACUUAAUCACUGUUAUCACUACCUCAAGAACUACCUUGUGACAAGACCAUAAUAAAUGUGUCUAGGACUAUUCCGAGUUGAAGAAUCGACGGUCUUUAAAUUCUUUUCUUUCGCGUUCUUCUUACCUCGCCUAGAUAGACCACCACUUGGAAGGUUCUUUUCCUUUGGUCUACCUUGAGAUGACCUUAAAACAUCAGUUCUCCUUCGUCUACCCUCUUUUCGACAUCUUCUAUCUUGUUUGGUAAGGCUCAAGUCGAACUCCCUAUCGUCUCUACUCGACCAUUUACUGAGGCGCAACCCCUUUAAUCGACAUCAAGGUGACGGUCCUCAUGGCAAAGGAUGUCUACUUGUUUGCGAUUAGUGUUGUGGUAGACGUUUCAAUAAAUCGUUACAACUCUUACUAUGGUACCUAUACCGCCGAAGUUACUUCUUUUUGUAAAGACAAUGGUUCUUUUUCCGUUAGGUUUUGUGUCUAAGGUUCCUCUUUAGACCACCAUUUUGAUACAGAUCUCCUCUACGCUUUGGUACCUUCGUCCGUGGCUUUGGUUCAUUCCUACUCGACUCUGUCCGACAGAGGACAUAUAACCCACGACGUUUAAAACGGUGCUACUGAAAACCUCUCCAACAUUUUCGUCAACUGUUUAUGAAACCGUUCCUAAACAAACUCUCCUUCGGCGACCAUUCCCGGAACUAUCUCCUCCUCGACAAAUCCGAUCGGUUCCUCCGACUCUCCUUCCUUCACCUUCUCCUCCUUCGUUACCUUCGUUUUCAUUUUCGACGGUUCCUGUCGCGUUCCCUACCUUCUCAACUUAGUCUGUAUCUGUUCCUCCUUAUACUUCAACUUCGACCAGGUCUACCAUUUAGAUUCCUACGACUUUUCUAACCGUUGUCGUUCUCAUCACUAUUUCCACCAUUUUCACCCUAAACACACUUCCGACCGCUCUUCCCUUUAUCGUUGCGACGACGGCGACUUUUAAAUGUUCUACCUUUCAGGCUUCAACUGCUGUGUUCCUUCUUUCUUAAAUCGUUCCUAACGCUCCGACUUUUCUAACACGUCUUACGUUUACCGCUACCACCGUACCUUUACAACUCCCUACCACUUCGACUUUGACCCUUAUUAACGUUGCCAUUGUGGUAUCCUCCAAGACCUCUUUUUCUACUGUGAUGUCUACCGUCUACACUUCUUCCGUCCCGACUUUUUCUACGUCUUUUACGACCACUGACACUUGGACUUCUUAGACUUUGAUUACUUGGUCUUCGUCUUCAUUUUCUACACUUUAGAUUCCUUCGGUCACCGUUACUCUAAUGGGAUAGGGUACCACGAUUGAUUUACACCGUUUUGUUUUAUCUACGAUCCGUUGUACUAAUGACUUCGCUCUGCGCCUACUACCAGCUCGCCUUCUAAGACUUCCGUCAUGUUCGUGGUUUUAACUACAUCCAACUUCGCGGAAACACCUGCUACACUUUUGACUACAUCCUAUCAAAUACCUCCUAAUCUAAAGGUACGCCUGACAUCAUAGUCUUGACGACGAAAUGAACCACUGUUCCUACCCGCCCGCCUGCCUGCCUGCCGGACCUAACCAGACUGUACCGUCAUUAUCUGCCAACAGGUUACACUGUCCACCUUGUAUGAAUAGCUGACUGGUUGCCGACCGAACCGAGGUGCAAGUGUCGAGGUAGGGAAGAAUAGGCGCGUUAGGUUGCCUGGCCUGGGUCGGUUCGGUAAGGGGUGGUGGGAGAGGGUCCAGGGGCGACGGUUGGGAGGUGGUAGAGGAGAGGAGAGGAGAAGAACAACGUGACGUGACGUGAGAGGUUUGUAACUAAAGGUUGAAAGGCAUGUUCACAGGAAGGAAGGUCAAUUCAAGUGGUGAACGAAGAACUAAACUCUGUGUCUAGCUCCUCCUCCUCGGUACGGCCUCAGCCUGUUACUGAGGCCGCCCGGCUCGUUGUGGCCGCCCCUCCCCCUCGACAGCAGCGGCGCCCUCGUCCUGGCGAAGGACGGGUAGCGGUUGCAGUCGGCGUAGUACUUCUUCCGCGAGGGCCGGUUGCGGUUCUAGUCGUUCCUGCGGUUCCUCUGCCACGUCCUCACGCAGAGGCUCAAGUAGAGGAAGUAGUGGCCGCUCCGGAGGCUGUUCACGGUCGCGCUCUUCGCGUUCUGGUAGUUGCCGCUGCUGGACGAGACCCGGUACUGGUGGGAGCCGAAGCUCCUGAUACAGCUGGGCGAGUUCGUGAUGGAGGUGUUCAAGGCACUCUAGCUCCCGCUCUCCCGGCGGCGGUGCAGUUGCAGUUGCAGUUGGUGCGGGCUGUACGGUUCUUUGUUGUUGUUGUUACGGUGGCCAAUGCGGCUGCGGGGCCCUCCGUACUACUACUACCCCGUCGGGUACAUGCCGAGCGGCGGCGGCGGUGUUGUCGUCGUCGUCGUGGUUGUAGUCUAACGUUACCCUCCCUCUCGCCCGAAAGGGAUAGAGCCUCCGCCGCCGCCCAGCAGCAGUAGCAGCCCCAAGCCUGCCUUUCUCACUGUAGAAAAGAAAAGAAAAGAAAAGAAAAACUCGACUGGUUUCACUCACUAAAGUUGUAUACAAGGAGAGAACCUACUUCGGAGGACAUCGAAUUUAGGUAAGUCGUGUCACUCCUUAUGAACAAGAUGGGUGCAACGACUUCGGAAAAAAAAGUUGAGAAGGCGAGAGGGGAGCGUUUAGUCAAAAGAAAACGAAUACGCCAACGGAGAUGCAACAUAUAUACGACUCGAUACCCCCAUGGGUUGUUCCAAAAAUUCCCCUUCCACGACGGGCUAUUCAAUUUUAUUUCACUUCGCUACAUACCACUAUAGAUGAGACCACUUCAUUGUGUUCGCUUUAAACCUCGGACG
rnacentral:rRNA from 1 species